rnacentral:rRNA from 1 species
GAUGAACGCUGGCGGCGUGCCUAAUACAUGCAAGUCGAGCGAAGCGGGGACGGGGGAGUAAAACGUGGAUAACCUCCUGUAAGACUGGGGUAACUUCGGGAAACCGGAGCUAAAACGGAAACUUGUCGAUUGAUCCGCGCUGCAUUAGCUAGUUGGUAAGGUAACGGCGUACCAAGGCAAUGAUGCAUAGCGGACCUGAGAGGGUGAUCGGCCACACUGGAACUGAGACACGGUCCAGACUCCUACGGGAGGCAGCAGUAGGGAAUUUUCCGCAAUGGGCGAAAGCCUGACGGAGCAAUGCCGCGUGAGUGAUGAAGGUCUUCGGAUCGUAAAACUCUGUUAUUAGGGAAGCGGUACCUAAUCAGAAAGCCCCGGCUAACUACGUGCCAGCAGCCGCGGUAAUAC